UCUUCACCUUGCUAAUAUUUUCGUAGAUGGUUUUCCAUUUUUUCCACUUUGUCUCACUAAUUCUUCACAAUGUCCAGUAUAAUACCUAUGCAGCUCAAGUUGAUGAAAAGGUAAAGCUUUGUUUGUCUGAGAUCCAAGUCCAAUUGGAAUAUCCACCACAACCAUACAACAUUUGUCUGUCUAUAGGUCCAAGAAGACAAAGCUCAUACGUUAAUCGUGGAUGCCAUCACAAAAUUUGUUAGUUUGUUCUGUACCUGUUCGAGAUAGUUUAUGUAGAUAUAUUUUUGGCUUCUAUGCAUGUACAAUUUGGCUUUGUUUUGCUUAUGUGAAAGCUAAAUUUCAGGUUCCUAAACAAAAGACCUAUUAUGAUUAUGUCAAAAAGAAGUUGAAUGUUGCAGAAGAAAUCGGUGUGAUUCCCCCUGAAAGUACGCACAAAUUUGUGAACAAUUCGCGUGAUUACAUGUUUAUAUAACCAGAUAGUCC
rnacentral:lncRNA from 1 species